AUUGAAACACCGAUUCCCGUACGGACACGGAAGUUAAGCAACGUCGAACCUGGUCAGUACCUACACGGGUGACCGCUUAGGAAUACCAAGAGGUGUAA